GGGUUGUGAGGUUAAGCGACUAAGCGUACACGGUGGAUGCCCUGGCAGUCAGAGGCGAUGAAGGACGUGCUAAUCUGCGAAAAGCGUCGGUAAGGUGAUAUGAACCGUUAUAACCGGCGAUGUCCGAAUGGGGAAACCCAGUGCAAUUCGUUGCACUAUCGUUAACUGAAUACAUAGGUUAACGAGGCGAACCGGGGGAACUGAAACAUCUAAGUACCCCGAGGAAAAGAAAUCAACCGAGAUUCCCCCAGUAGCGGCGAGCGAACGGGGAGCAGCCCAGAGUCUGAAUCAGCUUGUGUGUUAGUGGAACGGUCUGGAAAGUCCGACGGUACAGGGUGAUAGUCCCGUACACCAAAAUGCACAGGCUGUGAACUCGAAGAGUAGGGCGGGACACGUGGUAUCCUGUCUGAAUAUGGGGGGACCAUCCUCCAAGGCUAAAUACUCCUGACUGACCGAUAGUGAACCAGUACCGUGAGGGAAAGGCGAAAAGAACCCCGGCGAGGGGAGUGAAAAAGAACCUGAAACCGUGUACGUACAAGCAGUGGGAGCACCUUCGGGUGUGACUGCGUACCUUUUGUAUAAUGGGUCAGCGACUUAUAUUCUGUAGCAAGGUUAACCGUAUAGGGGAGCCGCAGGGAAACCGAGUCUUAACUGGGCGUUAAGUUGCAGGGUAUAGACCCGAAACCCGGUGAUCUAGCCAUGGGCAGGUUGAAGGUUGGGUAACACUAACUGGAGGACCGAACCGACUAAUGUUGAAAAAUUAGCGGAUGACUUGUGGCUGGGGGUGAAAGGCCAAUCAAACCGGGAGAUAGCUGGUUCUCCCCGAAAGCUAUUUAGGUAGCGCCUCGUGAAUUCAUCUUCGGGGGUAGAGCACUGUUUCGGCUAGGGGGUCAUCCCGACUUACCAACCCGAUGCAAACUACGAAUACCGAAGAAUGUUAUCACGGGAGACACACGGCGGGUGCUAACGUCCGUCGUGAAGAGGGAAACAACCCAGACCGCCAGCUAAGGUCCCAAAGUCAUGGUUAAGUGGGAAACGAUGUGGGAAGGCACAGACAGCCAGGAUGUUGGCUUAGAAGCAGCCAUCAUUUAAAGAAAGCGUAAUAGCUCACUGGUCGAGUCGGCCUGCGCGGAAGAUGUAACGGGGCUAAACCAUGCACCGAAGCUGCGGCAGCGACACUAUGUGUUGUUGGGUAGGGGAGCGUUCUGUAAGCCUGCGAAGGUGACCUGUGAGGGUUGCUGGAGGUAUCAGAAGUGCGAAUGCUGACAUAAGUAACGAUAAAGCGGGUGAAAAGCCCGCUCGCCGGAAGACCAAGGGUUCCUGUCCAACGUUAAUCGGGGCAGGGUGAGUCGACCCCUAAGGCGAGGCCGAAAGGCGUAGUCGAUGGGAAACAGGUUAAUAUUCCUGUACUUGGUGUUACUGCGAAGGGGGGACGGAGAAGGCUAUGUUAGCCGGGCGACGGUUGUCCCGGUUUAAGCAUGUAGGCUGGUUGUCCAGGCAAAUCCGGAUAAUCAAGGCUGAGGUGUGAUGACGAGGCACUACGGUGCUGAAGUAACAAAUGCCCUGCUUCCAGGAAAAGCCUCUAAGCAUCAGGUAACAUCAAAUCGUACCCCAAACCGACACAGGUGGUCAGGUAGAGAAUACCAAGGCGCUUGAGAGAACUCGGGUGAAGGAACUAGGCAAAAUGGUGCCGUAACUUCGGGAGAAGGCACGCUGGUGUGUAGGUGAAGUCCCUGCGGAUGGAGCUGAGACCAGUCGAAGAUACCAGCUGGCUGCAACUGUUUAUUAAAAACACAGCACUGUGCAAACACGAAAGUGGACGUAUACGGUGUGACGCCUGCCCGGUGCCGGAAGGUUAAUUGAUGGGGUUAUCCGUAAGGAGAAGCUCUUGAUCGAAGCCCCGGUAAACGGCGGCCGUAACUAUAACGGUCCUAAGGUAGCGAAAUUCCUUGUCGGGUAAGUUCCGACCUGCACGAAUGGCGUAAUGAUGGCCAGGCUGUCUCCACCCGAGACUCAGUGAAAUUGAACUCGCUGUGAAGAUGCAGUGUACCCGCGGCAAGACGGAAAGACCCCGUGAACCUUUACUAUAGCUUGACACUGAACAUUGAGCCUUGAUGUGUAGGAUAGGUGGGAGGCUUUGAAGCGUGGACGCCAGUCUGCGUGGAGCCAACCUUGAAAUACCACCCUUUAAUGUUUGAUGUUCUAACGUUGGCCCCUUACCGGGGUUGCGGACAGUGUCUGGUGGGUAGUUUGACUGGGGCGGUCUCCUCCCAAAGCGUAACGGAGGAGCACGAAGGUUAGCUAAUCCUGGUCGGACAUCAGGAGGUUAGUGCAAUGGCAUAAGCUAGCUUGACUGCGAGCGUGACGGCGCGAGCAGGUGCGAAAGCAGGUCAUAGUGAUCCGGUGGUUCUGAAUGGAAGGGCCAUCGCUCAACGGAUAAAAGGUACUCCGGGGAUAACAGGCUGAUACCGCCCAAGAGUUCAUAUCGACGGCGGUGUUUGGCACCUCGAUGUCGGCUCAUCACAUCCUGGGGCUGAAGUAGGUCCCAAGGGUAUGGCUGUUCGCCAUUUAAAGUGGUACGCGAGCUGGGUUUAGAACGUCGUGAGACAGUUCGGUCCCUAUCUGCCGUGGGCGCUGGAGAAUUGAGGGGGGCUGCUCCUAGUACGAGAGGACCGGAGUGGACGCAUCACUGGUGUUCGGGUUGUCAUGCCAAUGGCACUGCCCGGUAGCUAAAUGCGGAAGAGAUAAGUGCUGAAAGCAUCUAAGCACGAAACUUGCCCCGAGAUGAGUUCUCCCUGAGACUAUAAGUCUCCUGAAGGAACGUUAAAGACGAUGACGUUGAUAGGCCGGGUGUGUAAGCGCAGCGAUGCGUUGAGCUAACCGGUACUAAUGAACCGUGAGGCUUAACCUUACAACGCCGAAG
rnacentral:rRNA from 1 species